AAGUAAAAAUCGUAACAAGGUUUCCGUAGGUGAACCUGCGGAAGGAUCAUUAGUGAACAUAGGACGUCCAACUUAACUUGGAGUCCGAACUCUCACUUUCUAACCCUGUGCAUUUGUUUGGGGUAGUAGCCUUUCGAGGCGAAUCCCUAUUCACUUAUAAACACAAAGUCUAUGAAUGUAUUUAAUUUUAUAACAAAAUAAAACUUUCAACAACGGAUCUCUUGGCUCUCGCAUCGAUGAAGAACGCAGCGAAAUGCGAUAAGUAAUGUGAAUUGCAGAAUUCAGUGAAUCAUCGAAUCUUUGAACGCACCUUGCGCUCCAUGGUAUUCCGUGGAGCAUGCCUGUUUGAGUGUCAUGAAUACUUCAACCCUCCUCUUUCUUUAUGAUCGAAGAGGUGUUUGGAUUCUGAGCGUUUUGCUGGCCUCGCGGUCGAGCUCGCUCGUAAUGCAUUAGCAUCCGCAAUCGAACUUCGGAUUGACUUGGCGUAAUAGACUAUUCGCUGAGGAAUUCUAGUCUUCGGACUAGAGCCGGGUUGGAUUAAAGGAAGCUCCUAAUCCUAAUGUCUAUUU
rnacentral:rRNA from 1 species